rnacentral:rRNA from 1 species
GCCUGGAAAUAAACAACACUGCCAAAAAAGUACAAACAUUAGUUCAAAACUUAAAAGACCUGGCGGUGUCCAAAAUCAACCUAGAGGAGCUUGUUAUAUAAUCGAUAAUCCACGUUAAACCUUACCUACUCUGGCAAAUCCAGCCUAUAUACCGCCGUCGACAGCCCAUUUUUCUAAAAAUAGAGCAACUUAGGUUUCCCCUAAAACGACAGGCCAAGGCGUAGCUUAUGAGAAGGACAAUAAUGGGCUACACUACUACACAACAACAAAACUUCACUGAAAUACAGUCGCACGAAGAAGAAUUUAGCAGUAAGAAGAAUAAGAGCGUUCUACUGAACCAGGACAUUGGACACGC